rnacentral:rRNA from 1 species
ACGGGUGAGUAAUACGUGAACAAUCUUCCUUUGAGAGGGGGAUAACCCCGGGAAACCGGGGCUAAUACCGCGUGAGACCACGUCCUGGCAUCAGGAUGAGGUUAAACGCUCCGCAAGGGGCGCUUGAAGAGGAGUUCACGGCCUAUCAGCUAGUUGGUGAGGUAACGGCCCACCAAGGCUACGACGGGUAAGCGGUCUGAAAGGACGACCGCUCACAAUGGCACUGAGACACGGGCCAUACUCCUACGGGAGGCAGCAGUGGGGAAUUUUGCGCAAUGGGCGAAAGCCUGACGCAGCGAUGCCGCGUGGAGGACGAAGGUCUUCGGAUUGUAAACUCCUUUUACAGGGGAAAAAUGUGCAGGUGAAUAAUCUGCAUUGAUGGUACUCUGUGAAUAAGCCACGGCUAACUUCGUGCCAGCAGCCGCGGUAAGACGAAGGUGGCGAGCGUUACUCGGAAUUACUAGGCGUAAAGCGUGGGCAGGCGGUUCGGUAAGUCUGUUGUGAAAGCUCCCGGCUCAACUGAGAGAGGCCAAUGGAUACUGCCGGGCUUGAAUCGGGGAGGGGUCACUGGAAUUCCUGGUGUAGCG